CAGAGGGUAGUUUAUAAAAAUAUUAGUUUUGGGGACUAAAGAUAGGGCGAUAGCUUUACCUCUGA
rnacentral:tRNA from 1 species